rnacentral:rRNA from 1 species
GAGAAGGAAACACCUGUUCCCAUCCCGAACACAGAAGUUAAGCUUCUUAACGCCGAAGAUACUUGGAGGGCGACUUCCCGGAAAAAUAGGUCGUUGCCGG